UGUUUCGGCUAGGGGGCCAUCCCGGCUUACCAACCCGAUGCAAACUGCGAAUACCGGAGAAUGUUAUCACGGGAGACACACGGCGGGUGCUAACGUCCGUCGUGAAGAGGGAAACAACCCAGACCGCCAGCUAAGGUCCCAAAGUCAUGGUUAAGUGGGAAACGAUGUGGGAAGGCCCAGACAGCCAGGAUGUUGGCUUAGAAGCAGCCAUCAUUUAAAGAAAGCGUAAUAGCUCACUGGUCGAGUCGGCCUGCGCGGAAGAUGUAACGGGGCUAAACCAUGCACCGAAGCUGCGGCAGCGAACGUAUCACUUAAAGCGAUUCAGCGGGUUACGAUUGACGGAGCGAAGCGACGUCAAAGCGUAUACAAAGUCGAGUCGGUUUAAGGAUACGUUCGUUGGGUAGGGGAGCGUUCUGUAAGCCUGCGAAGGUGGCCUGUGAGGGUUGCUGGAGGUAUCAGAAGUGCGAAUGCUGACAUAAGUAACGAUAAAGCGGGUGAAAAGCCCGCUCGCCGGAAGACCAAGGGUUCCUGUCCAACGUUAAUCGGGGCAGGGUGAGUCGACCCCUAAGGCGAGGCCGAAAGGCGUAGUCGAUGGGAAACGGGUUAAUAUUCCCGUACUUGGUGUUACUGCGAAGGGGGGACGGAGAAGGCUAUGUUGGCCGGGCGACGGUUGUCCCGGUUUAAGCGUGUAGGUGUGUGUUCCAGGUAAAUCCGGUUCACUUUAACACUGAGGCGUGAUGACGAGGCACUACGGUGCUGAAGCAACAAAUGCCCUGCUUCCAGGAAAAGCCUCUAAGCAUCAGGUAACAUCAAAUCGUACCCCAAACCGACACAGGUGGUCAGGUAGAGAAUACCAAGGCGCUUGAGAGAACUCGGGUGAAGGAACUAGGCAAAAUGGUGCCGUAACUUCGGGAGAAGGCACGCUGACACGUAGGUGAAGUGAUUUACUCAUGGAGCUGAAGUCAGUCGAAGAUACCAGCUGGCUGCAACUGUUUAUUAAAAACACAGCACUGUGCAAACACGAAAGUGGACGUAUACGGUGUGACGCCUGCCCGGUGCCGGAAGGUUAAUUGAUGGGGUCAGCGCAAGCGAAGCUCCUGAUCGAAGCCCCGGUAAACGGCGGCCGUAACUAUAACGGUCCUAAGGUAGCGAAAUUCCUUGUCGGGUAAGUUCCGACCUGCACGAAUGGCGUAAUGAUGGCCAGGCUGUCUCCACCCGAGACUCAGUGAAAUUGAACUCGCUGUGAAGAUGCAGUGUACCCGCGGCAAGACGGAAAGACCCCGUGAACCUUUACUAUAGCUUGACACUGAACAUUGAGCCUUGAUGUGUAGGAUAGGUGGGAGGCUUUGAAGUGUGGACGCCAGUCUGCAUGGAGCCGACCUUGAAAUACCACCCUUUAAUGUUUGAUGUUCUAACGUGGACCCGUAAUCCGGGUUGCGGACAGUGUCUGGUGGGUAGUUUGACUGGGGCGGUCUCCUCCUAAAGAGUAACGGAGGAGCACGAAGGUUGGCUAAUCCUGGUCGGACAUCAGGAGGUUAGUGCAAUGGCAUAAGCCAGCUUGACUGCGAGCGUGACGGCGCGAGCAGGUGCGAAAGCAGGUCAUAGUGAUCCGGUGGUUCUGAAUGGAAGGGCCAUCGCUCAACGGAUAAAAGGUACUCCGGGGAUAACAGGCUGAUACCGCCCAAGAGUUCAUAUCGACGGCGGUGUUUGGCACCUCGAUGUCGGCUCAUCACAUCCUGGGGCUGAAGUAGGUCCCAAGGGUAUGGCUGUUCGCCAUUUAAAGUGGUACGCGAGCUGGGUUUAGAACGUCGUGAGACAGUUCGGUCCCUAUCUGCCGUGGGCGCUGGAGAACUGAGGGGGGCUGCUCCUAGUACGAGAGGACCGGAGUGGACGCAUCACUGGUGUUCGGGUUGUCAUGCCAAUGGCACUGCCCGGUAGCUAAAUGCGGAAGAGAUAAGUGCUGAAAGCAUCUAAGCACGAAACUUGCCCCGA
rnacentral:rRNA from 1 species